rnacentral:rRNA from 1 species
UGAGCAAUCUGCCCUUCUCUUUGGAAUAAGCGUUGGAAACGACGUCUAAUGCCGAAUACGACCUCCUUUCGCAUGAUCGGAGGUGGAAAGCUCCGGCGGAGAAGGAUGAGCUCGCGGCCUAUCAGCUAGUUGGUGUGGGUAAUGGCCCACCGAAGGCGACGACGGGUAGCCGGCCUGAGGAGGGUCGACCCGGCCACACGUGGGACUGAGACCACGGCCCAGACCUCCGACGGGAG